CCGUCUUUUCCCUGCAAUACCCACGUUUCCCCAAUAGAUGGCGUAGAAAAUGAUAAAAGCAUUUUAGCAUUUUUGUAUGACUUUUACAUGUCAUUUAUCUUAGUUCACACGAACGCUCCAUCUAUCUGCUCCUAACCCGGCCGACCUGUUCAAUUUUCGGACCAAUUGCGGCCCGUGAAAAGUUUGCCCACGCCUGGUUUAGCUGAUGAUUUGUUUCCUUUGUGGCUCCCCGUGACUUUGGAUUAUAAAUAAUAAGUAUUUAAUUAAUUUAUUUUUUAUUUUAGUUGGGUUUUUUUUAAGAUAAUACUUUAUUUGAAGAUAAUAGUAAUCUUGUAAAUAAUUUAUUUUAGAAAAUAUGUUUUUGUCGCUGAAAAUAUGCGUGACAUCCGCCGAUGUGCGACACCUGGCACAAAUCUGGCAGCGUGGUCUAGUCGGAAAUCUAUAGUACCAGCGUGAAUAAUUGAUAAUAAAUGAAUGAUUUAUUUUUGAUCCCUGGUGUGACUGGUUCGUGCUUGCUCAGAAUUGCAAAUGGAGUGAUGUCGAAAACCUUCCCAAACCGGACAAACUAGUGGUCGAACCAUGGAAUUCCAUCCCCGAGACUUUCGUGAACAUGAAAAAGGACUGCAUCUGGGGUCGUGACAAUCUUCGAAUACAGUAUGUGAGCAGAUAUUCUCCCACCUGAACUAUAUUAACAAACAUCGCUCACGCCUCACAGACGACAGCUUACAGUGAAGAUGGAGGUGACGCCUGACAGCCCUGGAGCAAAAAUCACAUCAUCCAGGGGUUGCCACAGCGAAUCAUUGAUUUCCAUAUCUCCCUGUUCUCUGCGUCUUCUACUCUGACUCCAACUAUCUCGGUUUGGGCCGUUUGGAUCAUGGGCAUUAUUUAACCACGUUUCUGUCAGGUGGAGCUGAAAAGGCGAGGUUACGAAAAUGAAAGGCGUCUGAAGAAGAUGGAUGGAAGAUGGUUGGGUGUUAGUGCGCUCCGGUGCGAUGGCACGGGAGAGCAGCUCGUCUGUGCGGCGGCACUCAAUGUGAGGACAAUGCACACCUUCACGAAGUGCCUCGUCAGGAGACACGAUGAGUGAAGCAACACUUGACUCUAUCACUGGAAUGCUUCCUAGGCCUUCAGUGUGGUCCUCACUGAACCAACCACUGACGCAGAAUUUCUUUAAUGUC